GUCAACCCUAAGAAGAUGACUGAUAAUGGUCAAAAGGAAGAAAAGAUGGUGAGCAACACUUGAUGCUAAACGUGUCUACACAAUAAAAUCAGCAGAACAUUUCACAAAAAUAAGACUCAAACCACUUUUUUAGUUAGACAAGUUUAGCUAGACAAGUUACAAAUCUGGCAUAAUAAUGGUAGAAAUGGAGAAGCAUUAAAUGGAAUAAUCAAUAUACUUCCACAAUGUGUGGAAGAUUUAGUCAUCAAACACAGAAGCUGAUGGUCUUCUAUUAAAUCAUGCAAGUCUCUAACUCAGGUUGCAUGUCAGGACAAAAACGAAAAUGCCAAAGCAGAUUUAGCUGCAAGAAUAUGUACUGUGGUCAUCUUUCUCAGAUUCUUUUAAAAGCAAUGUCCAGGGCAGCUUUUUUGGAUGUCUCUUAUGCUGUGUGUAAGCAGUGAACAAGACAAAGUACUGAUCACGAAACGAGAUUGCAGUUGCCGAUUGUCUUCUGUGUAACUCAAGAUAAGUUGCUAGCUGCACUGAUUUUUAAGAUAUCACAUUAGAGCAAUGUUAUUUAAAAAUUUAAGACAUUGUAUUCUUUUUCAGAAGACAGUUGCCUUCUCCCAGUUGCUGAAAGGCAAUAUUGUGCUCGCUCUUGUAGCUCUUCCUCUUGUGGGACAUGUAAUCCACACACAGUGCAUGCACAGAUG